rnacentral:rRNA from 1 species
GAUGAACGCUGGCGGCGUGCCUAAUACAUGCAAGUCGAGCGAACAGACGAGGAGCUUGUUCCUCUGACGUUAGCGGCGGACGGGUGUGUAACACGUGGAUAACCCACCUAUAAGACUGGGAUAACUUCGGGAAACCGGAGCUAAUACCGGAUAAUCUAUUGCACCGCAUGGUUCAUUAGUGAAAGACGGUUUUGCUGUCACUUAUAGAUGGAUCUGGGCCGCAUGAGCUAGUUGGUAAGGUAACGGCUUUCCAAGGCAACGAUGCGUAGCCGACGUGUGAGGGGGAUCGGCCGCACGGGAACUGAGACAGGGACCAGGCUCCUACGGGAGGCAGCAGAAGGGAAUCGUCCGCAAUGGGCGAAAGCCUGACGGAGCGACGCCGCGUGAGUUAUGAAGGUCUUCGGAUCGUAAAACUCUGUUAUUAGUUAAGAACAAAUGUGUAAGUAACUGUGCACGUCUUGAUGGUACCUAAUCAGAAAGCCACGGCUAACUACGUG